rnacentral:rRNA from 1 species
CCAUGCAUGUCUAAGUAUAAGCAAUUAUACAGCGAAACUGCGAAUGGCUCAUUAAAUCAGUUAUCGUUUAUUUGAUAGUACCUUACUACUUGGAUAACCGUGGUAAUUCUAGAGCUAAUACAUGCUAAAAACCCCGACUUACGAAGGGGUGUAUUUAUUAGAUUAAAAACCAAUGCCCUUCUGGGCUCUUUGGUGAUUCAUAAUAACUUUUCGAAUCGCAUGGCCUUGCGCCGGCGAUGGUUCAUUCAAAUUUCUGCCCUAUCAACUUUCGAUGGCAGGGUCUUGGCCUGCCAUGGUUACAACGGGUAACGGAGGGUUAGGGCUCGACCCCGGAGAAGGAGCCUGAGAAACGGCUACUACAUCCAAGGAAGGCAGCAGGCGCGCAAAUUACCCAAUCCCGAUUCGGGGAGGUAGUGACAAUAAAUACUGAUACAGGGCUCUUUUGGGUCUUGUAAUUGGAAUGAGUACAAUUUAAAUCCCUUAACGAGGAACAAUUGGAGGGCAAGUCUGGUGCCAGCAGCCGCGGUAAUUCCAGCUCCAAUAGCGUAUAUUAAAGUUGUUGCAGUUAAAAAGCUCGUAGUUGAACCUUGGGCCUGGCUGGCCGGUCCGCCUCACCGCGUGCACUGGUUCGGCCGGGCCUUUCCCUCUGGGGAACCCUAUGGUCUUCACUGAUCGUAGCGGGGAACCAGGACUUUUACUGUGAAAAAAUUAGAGUGUUCAAAGCAGGCCUAUGCUCGAAUACAUUAGCAUGGAAUAAUAAAAUAGGACGUGUGGUUCUAUUUUGUUGGUUUCUAGGACCGCCGUAAUGAUUAAUAGGGACAGUCGGGGGCAUCAGUAUUCAAUUGUCAGAGGUGAAAUUCUUGGAUUUAUUGAAGACUAACUACUGCGAAAGCAUUUGCCAAGGAUGUUUUCAUUAA